AUCCCACCCAAACGGCACCAUCUCUGUCAUAAGUAAAAAAAAAAAAAGGGAAAAAACUAAAACUUCAUUUGGCAGACUUUCUUUCUGAAAAAAUGGGUUUCAAAUCUUUCUUUUAAAAUUCUUUAACUUCUCCCCUCCCCCUUCAUCAAUCCAUGGAAUUCAUCGGCGCAUGCAGCACCUCCGUCCGUCGAGCGAAAGAGUUCAUGGGCAUGUACGUCUCUUGCGUGGAGGUGGAGUGAUGCAUGACGCGGAGAUUUGCACGACGUGCGGUGCCUGGGGAUUGUUUCGGUUGCAAACGGCAGCUCCUUGGGUUUUUUGUUGAAAUCUGUUUGUGUUUUGGGCCAUUUGGGUCGUGUUUGUAAAUAGGUAUUUAGGUUUGGGUCUGUUUUUGUUGGGUUUUGGUUUCUAGGGUUUUGGGCUGGGCAAAUUUUGGGCCUUACAAAGACAAUAUUUUGUGUUUGGAGAUUUGGGAAAUAGUGCCCUAACGUGUUGGGUGUCGAUUUUCCGUUUGACCAAAUAACUGAGUAUCUUUUUUUUUUAGGCAUGAGUUUUGUAAACCCUAAGAUGAUUUUAACGUAUUGGAUGUGAUAUUUUGUUCUUUCAGAA